rnacentral:rRNA from 1 species
UGGGGAAUUUUGGACAAUGGGCGAAAGCCUGAUCCAGCAAUGCCGCGUGUGUGAAGAAGGCCUUCGGGUUGUAAAGCACUUUUGUCCGGAAAGAAAUCCUUGGCUCUAAUACAGUCGGGGGAUGACGGUACCGGAAGAAUAAGCACCGGCUAACUACGUGCCAGCAGCCGCGGUAAUACGUAGGGUGCAAGCGUUAAUCGGAAUUACUGGGCGUAAAGCGUGCGCAGGCGGUUUGCUAAGACCGAUGUGAAAUCCCCGGGCUCAACCUGGGAACUGCAUUGGUGACUGGCAGGCUAGAGUAUGGCAGAGGGGGGUAGAAUUCCACGUGUAGCAGUGAAAUGCGUAGAGAUGUGGAGGAAUACCGAUGGCGAAGGCAGCCCCCUGGGCCAAAUACUGACGCUCAUGCACGAAAGCGUGGGGAGCAAAACAGGAUUAGAUACCCUGGUAGUCCCACGCCCUAAAACGAUGUCAACUAGUUGUUGGGGAUUCAUUUCCUUAGUAACGUAGCUAACGCGUGAAGUUGACCGCCUGGGGAGUACGGUCG